rnacentral:rRNA from 1 species
CCUACGGGAGGCAGCAGUAGGGAAUAUUGGUCAAUGGGCGAAAGCCUGAACCAGCAACGCCGCGUGCGCGAUGAAGGCCUUCGGGUCGUAAAGCGCUUUUGGGAGGGAUGAAAAUGACAGUACCUCCCGAAUAAGGAUCGGCUAACUACGUGCCAGCAGCCGCGGUAAGACGUAGGAUCCAAGCGUUAUCCGGAAUUACUGGGCGUAAAGGGCGUGUAGGAGGUUGGGCAAGUCGGCCAUGAAAGCUCCCGGCUCAACUGGGAGAGGCUGGUCGAUACUGCCUGGCUAGAGGGCAAGAGAGGGAGGUGGAAUUCCCGGUGUAGUGGUGAAAUGCGUAGAUAUCGGGAGGAACACCAGUGGCGAAGGCGGCCUCCUGGCUUGUACCUGACUCUGAAACGCGAAAGCAUGGGUAGCAAACAGGAUUAGAAACCCUGGUAGUCCAUGCCAUAAACGAUGUCAACUGGGUGUCGGCGAAGUAAAAUUUGUCGGUGCCGAAGCUAACGCGUUAAGUUGACCGCCUGAGGACUACGAUCGCAAGAUUAAAACUAAGAAGUAGACGGACGNGUAAGAGUAGUUCGACGACGACGACGAGGAGGAGGAG